rfam:Filifactor alocis ATCC 35896, complete genome.
CUAUGCUAGACGGGGAGUUAGCGGUGCCUUGUAACCUGCAAUCCGCUUUAGCAGGGUUGAAUUCCAUACAGAGGGGCAUCUUGGUUGUUAUGCCGGAAGAGAAUUAUGUUGAUUCGUUGGUCCCAUGCAAUAGGAGCUUAUGAACCUUGUCAGGUCUGGAAGGAAGCAGCAAUAAGUAAUGUCUUCUGUGUGUUGUGGGAGUGCUGAUGAUGAGUAGUUUUUUACGAAACAGACAAUUGAAACACUUCGAAGUAUGGUGCAUAG